UACGUAGGGGCAAGCGUUGUCCGGAAUCAUUGGGCGUAAAGCGCGUGUAGGCGGCCCGAUAAGUCUGCUGUGAAAGUCCAGGGCUCAACCCUGGAAGGCCGGUGGAAACUGUCGGGCUAGAGUCCGGAAGAGGCGAGUGGAAUUCCCGGUGUAGCGGUGAAAUGCGCAGAUAUCGGGAGGAACACCAAUGGCGAAGGCAGCUCGCUGGGACGGUACUGACGCUGAGACGCGAAAGCGUGGGAGCAACAGGAUAGAUACC
rnacentral:rRNA from 1 species